GACGAACGCUGGCGGCGUGCUUAACACAUGCAAGUCGAACGGAAAGUCCCUGCUUUUGUGGGGUGCUCUAGUUGCGAACGGGUGAGUAACACGUGAGUAACCUGCCCUUGACUUUGGGAUAUCUUCAUGAAACUUGUGCUAAUACCGGGUAGGAGCUCCUGCUUCAUGGUGGGGUUUGGAAAGUUUCGGCGGUUGGGGAUGGACUCGCGGCUUAUCAGCUUGUUGGUGGGGUAGUGUAUUACCAAGGCUUUGCCGGGUAGACGGCCUGGGAGGGUUACCGGACAAAUUGGGAUUGGGAUAUGGCACAGACUAAUACGGGACGGAGCAGUGGGGAAUAUUGCCCAACGGGAGGAAGCCUGAUGCAGCAACGCCGCGUGCGGGAUGACGGCCUUCGGGUUGUAAACCGAUUUCGUCUGUGACGAAGCGUGAGUGACGGUAAUGGGUAAAGAAGCACCGGCUAACUACGUG
rnacentral:rRNA from 1 species